rnacentral:rRNA from 1 species
UACGUAGGUGGCAAGCGUUGUCCGGAUUUACUGGGCGUAAAGAGCGCGCAGGCGGUCGUACAAGUCGCGUGUGAAAGCCCCCGGCUCAACUGGGGAGGGUCACGCGAUACUGUUCGACUCGAAGGCAGGAGAGGGAAGCGGAAUUCCCGGUGUAGUGGUGAAAUGCGUAGAUAUCGGGAGGAACACCAGUGGCGAAGGCGGCUUCCUGGCCUGUUCUUGACGCUGAGGCGCGAAAGCUAGGGUAGCAGACGGG